rnacentral:rRNA from 1 species
UACGAGAGGCCCAAACGUUAUUCGGAUUUACUGGGCGUAAAGGGCGCGUAGGCGGUCAGCACAAGUCAGUUGUGAAAUCUCCGGGCUUAACUCGGAAAGGUCAACUGAUACUGUGCGACUAGAGUGCAGAAGGGGCAACUGGAAUUCUCGGUGUAGCGGUGAAAUGCGUAGAUAUCGAGAGGAACACCUGCGGCGAAGGCGGCUCUCUGGGACGGUACUGACGCUGAGACGCGAAAGCGUGGGGAGCGAACAGG